ACAAGGGGCAUAGUGGUUUGAGCAUUGGACUGUGACUCUGGAGACCCGGGUUCGAAUCCUGGCUCAACCAUGUA